AUCUAGCUGAUGAAUCCCAAAUAGGACGAAACGCGCGUCCUGGAU
rnacentral:hammerhead_ribozyme from 1 species